UGUGGAGCUUCCUCAUAUUGUCUCCUUCUCCGCCCCAAGCAAACAAGUCCCUAAUAAUUUCCAGGCUCCUGUGGCAUCUAGGUGGCUGAAGAAACCGGGGAGCUGAAGGACCAGGCCAUGCAGCCUCUUCCUGGCUGCUGGCCUCACCCUCUCCUCCUCGGGCUCAGCUCUCCUGCCUCAGGGAUCCAUCUGUCUGUCUCUGAGCUCCAGAACCACACAGCUUCCUUGGAACUGCUUCUCCUCUCUCAUGCCACAAUUGGAGGAUGCAAUUUUCUUCAUCUUUAUAGGCAACUGGAAGAAGGCUUGUCUCCCCACUACAUGGAAAGCCCAAGAAAUGUUCCAAUUCUCUGAAUCCUACUGGAAAUAUGGAGACACCCAUAUGGGGGCCAAACAGCCAGCAUCCCAGGCUGUUCCAUUCCAACAGACGUUGUGGAGAUGGAGUAAAGAGGGGCUGGAGAAGGAGUGGGCUGAGAAGCAGGGUUCAGGUUAAAGGUAAGAGAAUAGUCUCAUAAAGAAGAUGGAAGAUAGAGCCUCUCAAGACAAUUCAUGGGACAUCAAAUAAUCCAGAAAACACACAUCCGCAGGAGCAAGGACCAAAGAGUGCAAUCCAUGUCUUAACUCAUCUCAGAAUUUCAAAAUAACAAGAAACUUGCUGUUGCCAAAUUCACUGUGGAGAAAUAGCUCUGACCAUGCAGAGAACUGACACUAGCAAUGUCAUCUCUCUGACACUAGCAAUGUCAUCUCUCUGACACUGGCAAUGUAGUGUGGGAAAUGGAAUCAAUCUCUGCUUCCCUGUGUUGGAACAAAAUGUUUGUACACGAGAAAUGAAGGAAAGAGUUUUCCCAAAUUGCAAGGGAAAUGCACCAUAGAAUAACCUCCUACAAUUUAAAGAUAAUUAAACACAAAUUUGUCUUGUACAUUUAUAUAUUUUAUUACAUUUUAUAAAUCAGAAUCUGAUUUAGUGUGAAAUUAUAUUCUGAGAUUUUUAUGUUUGACAUAUUAGUAAACCAAGUGUUUUGCAAUUAAAAAAAAAUGACUUCUAAGUGC